UGAUAAGCGAUCGUAAUCACUACCAGAAAGAGGCCGAACAAAUUUGCUGGUGCUGCGCUGGAUGAAUCGUUUCAGGAGAAUUUGAAAACAAGAACCCCUUUUUUAAGAGCUGUUAACGUUUUGGUGAAUCUUAUGUUUUGCAUCACGAAGAUGGUGGAGAUUCGGCCGUAAGUUACCAGAAGGCAGUCAAAAAUUAUAUUUCGGUAACAGUUGGCCGGGUUUAACUUCAAGUGAAAGAACUAAAAGUUGGGCUCAUCUUGCAUUAUCGAGGAAAACAUUUGCUGAGGACUUCGUACGACGCUCCCAGGCAAGAAUGGAAGUGCACCCAGCGUUAAGUGGCCAAUGUGUUCAUUACAGGUUUUUUUAAGGUACUGUUUACGUGACAUUUUGCAUCGUGACGUGAUAAUUUCUGUCUGGAAAGUCAGCCUUAUUGGCAUAUAAAUUCUCUUGUUCUAUGUAAGUAAAAUUGAACUGUUCUUUACUUUAAAUAGUUAAACAACUUAAAAGCGUUGUUAUCUGUGCCAACAAGGAGACUGCAGUUUGUUGUGUCGUAAUAAACCUUCCUAAGUUUUUGGUGCAGAAUGCUAA